AGAGUUUGAUCCUGGCUCAGAACUAACGCUAGUGGCGUGUCUUAGUCAUGCGAGUCGAACGCGAAAGUCCUUUCGGGGAUGAGUAGAGUGGCAAACGGGUGAGUAACACGUGGGUAACCUGCCUCCGAGUUGGGGAUAACAUUUCUAACGAGAUGCUAAUACCGAAUGAAGAGACGGGGUUUCGGCCUUCGUCUUUAAAGGUGGCCUCUGCUUGCAUGCUGCCGCUUGGAGAUGGGCCCGCGUCCUAUUAGCUAGUUGGUGGGGUAAUGGUCUACCAAGGCGAUGAUGGGUAGCCGGCCUGAGAGGGUGAACGGCCACACUGGAACUGAGACAAGGUCCGGUCCCCUACGGGGGCCAGCAGUCUAGAAAUUUGCACAAUCAACGAAAGUUGGAUGCAGCGACGCCACGUGGAGGAUGAAGCCUUUCGGGGUGUAAACUCCUGUCA
rnacentral:rRNA from 1 species